UCGAGGGUCAACAUAAUAAACCGGUGUCGAAGCUUGCCAGUCUCGAAGAAAGUUAUGGUGAUUCCACAGCUUCUAAAUAAUGUCUUCUUUAUCGCACGGUCACAAGAUACAUCAAAAUUCAGAAGGAAGCUCGAAGGACAAAUUUAAGAGGUAAUCCGAUUAGAUUCGACCGAUGCACGGCCCCCGUGCAAUUCAUAAUUACCAAGUUUUAAACUUUCCAUUGUAUUACAUACAUGGAAAAUAACAAUAAUAAAAAAACACGUAUUUAAAAACGCAA